AAUAGAAAUAGGCAAGAGGAUAUACAGUAAAGGGAAAUAACAGAAAAAGGAAAAAAAAUAUAAUUCCUGUAAUGUGGGAAAUGGGAUUCCAACACUCCCUUCAAGUUGGUUCAUGUAUAUCACACAUGCCUAAUUUACAAAUUAGAAUAUGAAACAAAUUACUGCUUAAGCCCUUAGUAAACACAUCGGCUAACUGUUCUUUUGAAGACA
rnacentral:misc_RNA from 1 species